CCCGCACCCCCACCCCCAAUUUAGUGAGCAUUCAUGGCCUGCCAUAAAUUUCCAUACUCAGAUGUGGCCCUUGGGCCAAAAAGUUUGCCCACUCUGAUGUAGAUACUACUAGACAUCUUCCGUUGAUCUAGCUACUGCCUCUCGAGGGGGUGGAUUUACUACAGCGAUGAAAAAUCCCCUUCAGUCACUUUAGCAAGUGUCUACAAUACAGCAACGUAACUGCAGCUGUGUCACUGUAGUGCUUAUAAUAUAGAUGUACCCUGAGACGUUUACGUUUUUUAAGUAAGGAGUAAGAAAGUUAAGUUACCCAAAAAGACAGAUGAACUAGUCACUAAAUAUCACAAUUAAAACGGAAAAGAAAUAUGGAAUAAAAAGAGAAAAUUGGCUCUUAAUUUUUCUUAAGAUAAGAGAGUCUUAGGAAGAAGAACUUCCAAAAACAAUGCUGUGUGUUUGUUUGUUAAAAGUUCGAAACAGAUUACCAUUGCAAAACUCUGAUAUCUGCCCACCCAGUUUCAAGAAAGAUAAGUGUCUUCACUUCCAGGUAUUUUAACAUUAAUUUUUAUUGCGCCUGUAUUUUAAGAUGGUAUUAACAGGAAGGAAAUCUGGAAGACUAUCAGUUGGUAGUUUGGCAUUGGUAAAAAAUGGCAAGGUACUGGUAUCACAACUGCCUAAUGAUUCAAGAUUAAUGCUCUUAUGUUCCUAAUUACAUGAACUCCAACUGGAAAAAAGUCAUUUCUUGGUUACUAGUAUCUAGUGGGUUACAUUUGUCAUUAGGUUUCACCAUUAUUAUGCUGAAAGUCCAGAUUCCAAAUAAACAUCCGCUACCAGCGUAAACAGUAAAGGGUAAACCGUUAAUGAUGUAGUGUAAUACUUUUUUCAGUUUGAAUAAUAGAAAAGCUUUUUUAAAAAAAGCUUAUCCUAAUAUUGCAUUAACAUAGAGAUGAAUUCAAGUGAUUUUCAGUGAGUCAGAUUUAAAGACCUAAAAACAUUCAAAGGAGAACUUGAAGAGAGGUCUAAGUCUUCACAUCCAGGAUAUGUCUAAGGCUAUGUCUACACUAUGGACCUUACAGCGGUACAACUGUAAGGUCUCCUGUGUAGCUGCUCUUCAAAUUAAUUAAACUACCCCCAAUAGCAUUACCUAUGUCAGCAGCAGAGCUUCUCCUGCUGACACCAGCACUUUUGCCGGUGAAACUUAUAUUGGUCAGGGGAGGUUCCCCCCCCCCACUCAUCUGAUGGACAAAAAGUUUCACCGACAAAAGUGGUAGUGUAGACAAAGCCUUAGUCUUGCAGAUUCUUUCUGCACAACGUCUUUAAGAUAGAUUUUCCAUCCAUCCACACACACAGCUAAAACUCUUGUCUAAGCUCUCACCACCUCAUAUCAUGAUUACUGUAACAUCCUUUUCCGGCCUUGACAAAUGCUAUCUUGCCCCACUCAUAACCAUUCAGAAGGCUAUUGCAAAGAUCAUUUUUUUAGCCCAUGCUUUGAUCAUUACAUUCUUUCAUUGGCUCAGUCUUCUCCGUUGUCAUGAACAUAAGCUACUUGUCUUCACUUUCAAGGGCCCUUCAUGACCUAUCCCAACCCUAUCAUCUCUCAUUCAGUCUCAAAAGUCAACUCCCACCUCCAAUUAGACUAUGAUGCCAGCCUCUAAGCCCACUUGUUAAAUCUUCAAAUAAGCCCGUUCUUCGUGCCUUUUGCCAUGCUGCUCUUCAUAGCUGGGAGGAACUCCCAGGUAACAUGUGCACAUAUCUCCCUUCAAAUCUCUCCUGUGCCAUGCUGCCUACCAAAAAAUUUGGUAAUAAUUAGGCUGCUGGUGUGCUGAGACCACAGCCCACCAUGUUGACCAAUAUCAUCUAUUCUCCUGUACUCCUCCACUGGUCUGUCUCUGUCCAUCUGUUAACUCUUGUCUUAAGACUAAUAUCCUUGGGGCAGGGACCAUAUUUUUGUUGUGUGUUUGCACAGCGCCUAGCACAAUGGGGGCCCUAGAGUACCACCGGAGCUCCUAGGCACUACAACAUUACCAUCUGAUGGAAAAGUUUGUGUGUGAAAUUGGAGCUGGCUAAUAGAAGUGUGGGGUGCUGCUUUCAUUGGGUGGAAGGGUAAUACUGCUACCCCACACUUACGUUUUGAAAAAGGAUGGAGUCUGGGGUCAGGAAGCAAUCUAGUUAUAGUAACAAGCCAUACUAGGUCAGACCAAAUUGUCUACCUAGCCCCGUAUCCUGUGUCUGACAGUGGUCAGUGACAGACGCUUCAGAGGAAAUGAACAGAACAGGGCAAUUACCAAAUAAUCCAUCCUGUCAUCCAGUCCCAGCUUCUGGCAGUUGGGGGUUUAGGGGGAAUACAGUGUAUGGGGUGGUAUCACUGACCAUCUUGGCUAAUAGCCGUUGACAGACCUAUCCUCCAUGAACUUAUCUAAUUUGUUUUUUAACCCAGUUAUGCUUUUGGCCUUCACCAUAUCCCAUGGCAACAAGUUCUGCAGGUGGACUGUGCCUUGUGUGAAGUACUUGGUUUUUCUUUGUUCUAACGCUGCUGCCUAUUACUAAACCUGCUGCCUAUUAAUCUUGUUUUCUGUAUUUUACAGACUCCUGCGUACAAAAGGAGAUCUGUCACGGUCACUCAUACAGCCAUUCUCCCUGCAGAUCUCGUCAAAGGAAACUCAGCCUGCCCACUGCAGACCUCAACCUUCUCCAGUUCCUUUUCUCCUAUUUUUUGCCAAAGAGCUACUGACACCCUGCUAGAAGAAUAACCUAGUUAUUCUCCAUAGUGGGAUCUGGAAUGUACCAAAGUCUUAUGAAAAACCAUAAUGGAACCUAGCAACAGUUGUCCGGAAUGCUAAGGCCUGGGCCUGACUGAAGGACAACACAGAUACGCAGACAGAAAAAACAGACUACAGUGGAAAAAAAUCUGAUUCUUUUACAGAGAAGCCACUAAUCACCAACAGAUGUGACACACUUUUUUAAAGGAGAGAAGAAAUGAAUCUGAAAAUUACACUAAGCAUGUGAUGUUUUACAAAACACUUAAAACUAAUCCGAUGCAUUCAAUUGAAAUGUCAAAAACAGAACUUCCCAGACUGUUCCUGCAGCUUUCUAAUGCCUUAGAUGUAAGGACAAAUGACCCAUUAACUU